GGAAUUUCGCUAAGCGAAAUUAGAGAAAGACAAAUAUGACUUCACUCAAAUGAGGACUUUAAGAUACAAAACAGAUGAACAUAAGGGAAGGGAGCAAAAAUAAUAUUAAAAACAGGGAGGGGGACAAAACAUAAGAGACUCUUCAAUAUGGAGAAAAAAACAGGGCUACUGGAGGGGUUGUGGAAGGAGGGAUGGGCUAAAUGGGUAAGGGCCACUAAGGAAUCUACUCCUGAAAUCAUUGUUGCACUAUAUGCCAACUAACUUGGAUGUAAAUUUAAAAAAUAAAUAAAAUGGAAAAAAAUACAACUCAAAAACAAAAGAACAGUGAACAAAAGAGGGGGGGAUGUUAGAAGUAAUGAUAAAAUCACACGUUGGAAAACAGGAAAUAAGGAGUAUUUUGAUUAGUUGGAAAAAAAAUAGACAAGUCACUAGCAAACUUAAUCAAGUAAAAGGGCAAGGAAGUAAAAAUAUAAAAAAGUAAAAUGGUGAAACAAUAAAACAAAAUAACUUUUAAUUUUAAAGACUAUUUUGUACAAUGCUACAAAGAAGUUUAGAAACCUAGAUGAAAUGGUAAUGGCCUAGGAAAACAUAAUGUGUAAAAUGACUCCAGUAGAGAUAAGUUUAAGCAGACUAAUUUUCAUAAAGGAAAUGGAAAAGAUUGUCGAAGAGCUAUACUAUGGAAAGGACUCUAGGUCAGAUGGCUUCACAGGAUAAUUCUGCCAAACUUUCAUAGUUAACCCCUUUGCUACAUAAUGUAUUCCAGGGCACUGGAAAAGAAGAAACACUUCCAGAUUAUUUGUGUGAAGCAAAUCCAACAUUGAUCCCUAUACUAGAUUGCAAAAUAAACCCCAAUUCUUCAUUUAUGCCUACAUCCACAUACUUCGCAAUGGAGUUUUGUUGUGCCCUCCCUCCCUGACUCUGGGCUCAGCCAUGGAAGUUUGGCCAAUGGGGUUUUCACAAACAAGAUGCAAGCGUGGCUUUGAAAAUACCUUAUGCAAUUGAGGAUUUCUCUCAUUUUGCUCUCUGCCUUUAUUAUGAAAAUUUUGUGUCUAACCUAGCCUGACCAAAGCCAUCCUGGAUCAAUCAAGGUAUCUGACUGUCCCAGACAGGUGAGUGGGUCCACGUAAGACCAGAAAUGCUGCCCAGCCAAGUCCAACCUAAAUCACCAGCCUAUGGAUUUGUGAGCUAAACACAUACUUAUUAUCUUAAGGCAUUGAUAUUUAAAAUGAUUUAUUCACAGUAACAGACAACUGAUACAGGGGCGCCUGGGCGGCUCAGUCGGUUGAGCUUCCGACUUCGGCUCAUGUCAUGAUCUCGUGGUUCAUGAGUUCGAGCCCCGCAUCGGGCAUCGUGCUGACAGCUCGGAGCCUGGAGCUUGCUUCAGAUUCCAUGUCUCCCUCUUUCUCUCUGCUCCUUGCCUGUUCACACUCUGUCUCUAUCUCUCAAAAAUAAAUAAACAUUAAAAAAAAAUUUUUUUUUAAAUGGACAACUGAUACAGAAAUUGGUGCCAAAUCAAAAAACUAAUAUAUGUGACAUUGGAGCUGGGCUGUGGGUGGAACUUGGAAAAAUGAUGAGAAAAUUAUUUUGGGAGGCUGAAAGAUGCAAGGAAACCUAGCACCUUGUAGUAACCUGGAAGGUGGAAGAUUUAUCUACUGAACAUUUGGGCUUGAAAAAAGACAUUCCUAGGCAGGAUGUUGAAAAUGUCAACUAUCACUCGGAAGAGAAUUAGCCAGGUUUGAAGUAGAAUUUAGAGGGAAUGUAAAGGUGCUAGAAUAAUAACUCUCAUCUUCAUCCCUUUAAGCCAUUAAAAGAUCUGACUUAAGAUCUAGCUUUAAGUAAAAACAAAGUCAAGGACUGAAAGACCCUUUGCCAAGACCUCUGAAAGAAUCAAGGCAUUAUCUAAUAGACUUUUCCAGUUGAUUAAGAUGACUUCGAGGAAACAUGAGAUUCCUGUCCCUCAGCAGCUUGAUUGAUACCUUAAAGUAUCAGUGAUUAAACCCAGAGAGCAAGCAAGAUCUCAAAAAUGAUAGGGUAUGGCUUUUGGUGUAGAGAGUGGAUUUAAAUCAGGCACAGAAGAUCCAAAGAACUUUUUAGGGAGCUAUACUAAUAAAAAGUGGCAUCAGCCUAGAUUAAAAGGGACUAAAUGUAAAAAAGACUCUAGGCCCCCAGCUUUCUUUGGCCAGGACACAGGCUGAGGAUGUUGUUCAGAGGCGUGUUUUCCAGUGCUCUCUUCAGAAGUGCUCAAGGAGGGCAAUGCAAAGUGAAAGAUGUAGACGGUGAAGCCAAGAGCCUUGGGAAACAAUGGACAGGGAUGUCACUUCCAGUGUGGCAGAUAAACUCCAAUAUGGCCUGCAACGAUCCCUGCCUCCUAGUAGUCACACCCUUGUGUAACUCCCUCCUCCUGGGUGUGAGCAGAACCUGUAAGGCGCUUCUACACUUGAUCUUAGCCAAAAGGCCGAGAAGCUAUUGUAAGGUGCUUCUAAUAGAAUCUGGCUAAAGUGAUGGUAUGUCACUUCUGUAAUCAUGUUAACAUAUGAUUCUAAUUUCUAUCUUUCUAGCGGACUCUAAUGACUCUCCCUUGCUGACUUGGAUGAAGUAAGCUGUCCUAUGGAGAGACCCACAUGGCAGGGAAGUGAGGGCAGUUUCUGGCCAAUAACCAUUCAAUAGUUGAGGCCCUCAGUCCAGCAAUUAACAAGGAGCUGGAUCCUGCUAACAACCACAUGACUUCCCUAGUCAAGCCUCAAAUGAGACCCCCAACUCUGGCCAACAUCUUGAUUAUAGCCUUGUGAGAGGUUCUGACGCAGAGGACCAGAGGACUCAGUUGCUCUGUGAGGAUUUUGGAAGAUUCGAAAACUAUACAACCACCAGCCUAGCCACCUCUUUCCUGGAAUCUGGUAGAAGUUUUAAGAGCCUGAAUAUAAUUUACCAUGCUCUUGCCUUCUGUCUCUGUAAUAAUAGAAGCAUGUGUCAAAAUGUAGCCUACAUUAGCUCGUGUCCCUGAGUUAUUACAAUGAGUAGAACUUGCUUGGUGACUCACCAUGGACAGGUAGCACGAGCGAAAAAUAAAUUUGGUUGUUUUAAGCCGUCGAGAUUUGGACAUUUUCCGUUACCGCUGCAUAAUCGAAUCUAUUUUGAGAGACCUUUCUACCCAACCCAAUUAAUUUAGUUGCCUUCAAGAUGGCCACCAUAAGUUAAGAAAGAGAGAAUGGGGAGAAGUAUGAAGAGAAGGGGGAAAAGAAAUAAAAACAGUUGGAGAGUUGUCGAAGUAACUUUUAAUGUUGAUGGCACAUAGAAUAGAUUGGAAAUAGAUAGCUUACUAAGGUUUGGUUCACCCCCAUUAUAUAGAGUGGGGUUCACCCCCAUUAUAUAGAGUGAAUAGUACCCUCUGAAAUCUUUUAAUGUGGUACUGCUGUAACUAAAUUACCCACUUAUAUGUUCUAAUAUAUAUUACCCUAUAUCUCUCAUAAUUACCCACUAUAGCAUCUCUCUAACCAAUGACUCUCAGAAGUUGAAAGAGGCAGGGGCCACUUGACUUUUCUUUAAAGUGAAGAGUUCUUCAAAUCAAAUUACAAAAAUUGUGGUUAUUUUAAGGGUUUACCUUGACAAAUGAAUGCAUGUAACCCUCACAAUAAAAUGCCUUAGAACUAUUCGGA